rnacentral:lncRNA from 1 species
UGAGAUUUCUCAUUUGUUUUAGUUAAUAGCUUUCUAGUGCUUCUUCUAUAAAUAAAUGGGAGUAUAGAGUAUCAAACUUAAUUCAUAUAUUUUCAACAUUUGGGAGCUUUACUCAUCCGAAUUAAACAAAUAGUCGUAUCUAUCAUUCAGACAUAUGCCUAUUUAUAUCAACCCAACUAGGAGUGAGAAAAGAGGAAUCCACAAUGAAAUCUUAGGUUAGCUCAUCCCCAGCAGACACAUAGGUAUUAGCGAUAAGAAGUAUCUGCCUCUCAUCACCCUCGCAUAACAAUUAAGCAUGCAUUGCAAAAGGAAUGUUAUUUUUCAGCAUAUGAAGAGACAUAAGUAACAAUGCUAUACAUAAAUAUCUUAUCUCUUAGUCACCUUAAGGUGGGUUUACCAAACAUCUCUUUUAUUUAUAUUUUUGAAGGUAUAAGAAUAAAAAUCUCUUUACGGGAAAACCCCAUCUUUGUUGAUCUCAUGGACUUGUGGGAGAUCUAUCUCCUUAUCCAAGAAGUUAAAGGUUUAUUCAUCCUUUUGACCACACUUUCGAGACUCCUCAAUCAUGCGAUUUCCACCCUCCCAAGACCCUCAAACCCAAAUCUUGUAUCAACAAACACUAACCCAUCCUAUUCUGUUUUUCUCCCUGCAGGGGAGGAGACAUUAAUGAACGAGCAAUAUUCCCCUUAUUGGUGGCCUCAAUCACUAUUUCCUCACUUGUCUUGAACACCUGUAUUACGUAUUGAAUAAUCAUCAACAAUCAGUCCUUAAACAAAUUAAGGGCGGCAGCAGCCAAAAAGUAAGGGUGUUCCAACAUGAUUAAUUACGGGCGAUCAAGGCGGUACUAAGAUACCGCUAGUGUGACAAGUUUGUUCAGAGAAUGGAAAACAUUGAGCCAUUUUUAUAAAUGUUUUUAAAACCACAACAUUAUCAAAUCUUGCUGGUUCAUAAAAAAAACCGUCACCAAUCAGUUCAAUCCUCUAAAUAAUAAUAUAGUAAAUUUAUUGUUGGUUACAUCUUCUCUGAUUGUGUGAUCCAAUAAGAGUAAAUUUUUUUUAUCAACCCGUUAAUAAUUUGGAACUACCAAAAUAUAUCAAAUGAAGAUAGAGAAAUUAAAUCCUAAACUUUAGGGACCAAAACUACAAUUAGACCUGCCAUGAAGCCUUAGUAGAGGAAAUUGGUUUUCAUUUUUCACUAAUCUAACUACAGAUUACCAUCAACAAACUCAAGUAAUGAGGCCAGCUUGCUUUUGUUGACAAAUGGAUCCAAGCCCAUAUUUUCGAUUCCAAUUCAGUACUGAAAAACCACUUCUCAUAGAUAGCGGAGUUUGGCAAGACUUCCAAGUUGCCAGGGUACAGCUUAGAGAAGAGAAACAACUAUUUCCGGCGGAUUUACACCUCCAUCUACGGCAGCGCUAGCGGUAGGGGAUCAUGUGCUGGUGGGCUGUUUUGGGAACUCUUGACCCUGGGAAUGGAUCACGUCGGAGAUGGUUAUCACGUUGUUUUAGAACAAUGCCCUUCAACCGCUAAUAUCAUAUGAAAAUGGAGAAUUAGAAAGGAAGAAGAUGAUGAGAGAAGGGGGAGAGGGAGGGAGAAAAUAUAAUAUUGAAUAAUAAUUUGUUAUUAUUAUUAUUUAAUAUUAAAUUUAUAAUUUUGAUAUAAAUAAAAAUCACUAGAGAUAACUAUUGAUUGGUUCCAAAAAAAAAAAAAGCUUUUAAUGAAAGGCCGACUUGAUUCGAUAAAAAAAAAAGAACC